CCAAUAGCGUAUAUUAAAGUUGUUGCAGUUAAAAAGCUCGUAGUUGAAUUUCGGGGUCAGUAGAUUGGUCAUGCCUCUGGUAUGUACUGGUCUCACUGAUUCCUCCUUCCUGAUGAGCCGUAAUGCCAUUAAUUUGGUGUUGCGAGGAAUCUGGACUGUUACUUUGAAAAAAUUAGAGUGUUUAAAGCAGGCUAACGCUUGAAUACAUUAGCAUGGAAUAAUGAAAUAGGACGUUCGAUCUUAUUUUGUUGGUUUCUAGGAUUGACGUAAUGAUUAAUAGGGAUAGUUGGGGGCAUUAGUAUUCAAUUGUCAGAGGUGAAAUUCUUGGAUUUAUUGAAGACUAACUACUGCGAAAGCAUUUGCCAAGGAUGUUUUCAUUAAUCAAGAACGAAAGUUAGGGGAUCGAAGACGAUCAGAUACCGUCGUAGUCUUAACCAUAAACUAUGCCGACUAGGGAUCGGAUGAUGUUAAUUUUUUAAUGACUCAUUCGGCGCCUUACG
rnacentral:rRNA from 1 species